rnacentral:ncRNA from 2 species
CCAAUAGCGUAUAUUAAAGUUGUUGCAGUUAAAAAGCUCGUAGUUGAAUUUCGAGAUCAAAUUGUUGGUCGUGCCUUGGUACGCACUGGCAUUAUUGGUUUCUCCCUUCUGACGAACCAUGAUGUCAUUAAUUUGGUGUCUUGGGGAAUCAGGACUGUUACUUUGAAAAAAUUAGAGUGUUUAAAGCAGGCUCACGCUUGAAUACAUUAGCAUGGAAUAAUGAAAUAGGACGUUUGAUUCUAUUUUGUUGGUUUCUAGGAUCGACGUAAUGAUUAAUAGGGAUAGUUGGGGGCAUUAGUAUUCAAUUGUCAGAGGUGAAAUUCUUGGAUUUAUUGAAGACUAACUACUGCGAAAGCAUUUGCCAAGGAUGUUUUCAUUAAUCAAGAACGAAAGUUAGGGGAUCGAAGACGAUCAGAUACCGUCGUAGUCUUAACCAUAAACUAUGCCGACUAGGGAUCGGAUGAUGUUAAUUUUUUAAUGACUCAUUCGGCGCCUUACG